rnacentral:rRNA from 1 species
ACGAAGGGGCGGGUGCUACCAUGCAGUCGACGAUGAAGCCCUUCGGGGUGGAUUAGUGGCGAACGGGUGAGUAACACGUGGGCAAUCUGCCCUUCACUCUGGGACAAGCCCUGGAAACGGGGUCUAAUACCGGAUAACACUCUGUCCCGCAUGGGACGGGGUUGAAAGCUCCGGCGGUGAAGGAUGAGCCCGCGGCCUAUCAGCUUGUUGGUGGGGUAAUGGCCUACCAAGGCGACGACGGGUAGCCGGCCUGAGAGGGCGACCGGCCACACUGGGACUGAGACACGGCCCAGACUCCUACGGGAGGCAGCAGUGGGGAAUAUUGCACAAUGGGCGAAAGCCUGAUGCAGCGACGCCGCGUGAGGGAUGACGGCCUUCGGGUUGUAAACCUCUUUCAGCAGGGAAGAAGCGAAAGUGACGGUACCUGCAGAAGAAGCGCCGGCUAACUACGUGCCAGCAGCCGCGGUAAUACGUAGGGCGCAAGCGUUGUCCGGAAUUAUUGGGCGUAAAGAGCUCGUAGGCGGCUUGUCACGUCGGAUGUGAAAGCCCGGGGCUUAACCCCGGGUCUGCAUUCGAUACGGGCUAGCUAGAGUGUGGUAGGGGAGAUCGGAAUUCCUGGUGUAGCGGUGAAAUGCGCAGAUAUCAGGAGGAACACCGGUGGCGAAGGCGGAUCUCUGGGCCAUUACUGACGCUGAGGAGCGAAAGCGUGGGGAGCGAACAGGAUUAGAUACCCUGGUAGUCCACGCCGUAAACGUUGGGAACUAGGUGUUGGCGACAUUCCACGUCGUCGGUGCCGCAGCUAACGCAUUAAGUUCCCCGCCUGGGGAGUACGGCCGCAAGGCUAAAACUCAAAGGAAUUGACGGGGGCCCGCACAAGCAGCGGAGCAUGUGGCUUAAUUCGACGCAACGCGAAGAACCUUACCAAGGCUUGACAUAUACCGGAAAGCAUCAGAGAUGGUGCCCCCCUUGUGGUCGGUAUACAGGUGGUGCAUGGCUGUCGUCAGCUCGUGUCGUGAGAAUGUUGGGUUAAGUCCCGCAACGAGCGCAACCCUUGUUCUGUGUUGCCAGCAUGCCCUUCGGGGUGAUGGGGACUCACAGGAGACUGCCGGGGUCAACUCGGAGGAAGGUGGGGACGACGUCAAGUCAUCAUGCCCCUUAUGUCUUGGGCUGCACACGUGCUACAAUGGCCGGUACAAUGAGCUGCGAUGCCGCGAGGCGGAGCGAAUCUCAAAAAGCCGGUCUCAGUUCGGAUUGGGGUCUGCAACUCGACCCCAUGAAGUCGGAGUUGCUAGUAAUCGCAGAUCAGCAUUGCUGCGGUGAAUACGUUCCCGGGCCUUGUACACACCGCCCGUCACGUCACGAAAGUCGGUAACACCCGAAGCCGGUGGCCCAACCCCUUGUGGGAGGGAGCUUCGAAGUUGACUCCGGU